rnacentral:rRNA from 1 species
CUUGCCCGCUGGCGGCAUGCCUUACACAUGCAAGUCGAACGGCAGCACGGGUGCUUGCACCUGGUGGCGAGUGGCGAACGGGUGGGUAAUACAUCGGAACAUGUCCUGUAGUGGGGGAUAGCCCGGCGAAAGCCGGAUUAAUACCGCAUACGAUCUACGGAUGAAAGCGGGGGACCUUCGGGCCUCGCGCUAUAGGGUUGGCCGAUGGCUGAUUAGCUAGUUGGUGGGGUAAAGGCCUACCAAGGCGACGAUCAGUAGCUGGUCUGAGAGGACGACCAGCCACACUGGGACUGAGACACGGCCCAGACUCCUACGGGAGGCAGCAGUGGGGAAUUUUGGACAAUGGGCGAAAGCCUGAUCCAGCAAUGCCGCGUGUGUGAAGAAGGCCUUCGGGUUGUAAAGCACUUUUGUCCGGAAAGAAAUCCUUGGCCCUAAUACGGUCGGGGGAUGACGGUACCGGAAGAAUAAGCACCGGCUAACUACGUG